GGGAUAUACAGACCUGUUGUAGAGACAAAGCGGAAGAAAGAUGGAUUGCACAGAAAUUGGAUUGUAGAGACAUAGACUUUACUGACAGGAGUUACAGACGAAUAUUAUGCAGUAUGGAUUAUUUAGAUGCGGGUUGUGUAGUGUAGACACUGGCCCUGAAGGCUUAGGUUAUGUGGACUCAGCCUGUAACAAACUCUUCAGCCCUGGCCUUGGGGCAGGUUGUACAGCAUGAGCCCAGUGACAGCAGCCAGGUCAUGUGCCAGGGAGGGACCUCGAUGUCUGCACACAGGGUCACGGCAGGAGAACAGAGAAAAUGCUCCUGGCACUGCCACCAAUAGGAUCCACUCACUAACUCAUUCACUAAGCAUUUACCAAGGUGUCUACGCCCUGCCAGGCUGACCCGGAGGCAGCCGUGCCGUAAGGACCUCAGAGGCUGGUAGGGGAGACAGGUGCACACACCUUCUCUGACACUGGGCAGGAAGAACUGAGAGCUAUGGUGAAAGGCCAGGAUGGAGCCCAGAGGAGGGUACAAUUCAUCCCUGGGGGGCCAGGGAUGGCUUGACGAAGGAGAGCAUUUGAGGUUGUCCUUGAAGGAUAAACAGGAUGAUGAGCGGUAAGAUAGGGAAAGGUAUUCUAAGAAGAAAGGGCCAGAAAAGCCAAGGCAUGGAGGCCUGAAAGCCUCUGGGCUGCUGGGGAGCAGAGGGGAGCAGAUGAGCGUCGAUACAAGGCGGGGAGUAGGGCAUGCCAUGGAACUGAAGCUGGACAGGAACAAAGCUCCGCCUUUCGUCUCACCACUUGAAGUCGAGAUCUCAGUCGGGGAAAGCAGCACGGCUGUUUAGGGGCCUCCCUCAAGCUCUCGUAGGCGCAAGGUGAAGGAGCAGGAGCAGAGAAGCUGGGCCAUGAGCCCUCCAGCCCCCGUCCUGGAGCCGCCCGACGGGCAGGGCCAAGCCUCAGGAAAAGCGAUCGGGAAUUGCAAUUUCUUCCCUUCGUGUUCAGAGUCCAGUUCAUCAGCAAGGCCAGAAGCAUGACAGCUCCUCCCUCUUUCCCACCAUGACCUCGGUGGGCCUUCUCCAGGGGAGGAGAGGCCUUCCACCAAGACGGCCACCUGCCUGCGGAGAGCCCGGUGGAGCAAGAAGCAAAGGGGGGCGCACCCCAGAAGCUGCCCCUCUGGCACAGACGGGGCACCCCGGGAAGAAUCCCUGUACAACACCUCAGAGCCUCCUGGCCUCCUUCAGCCCUGCUCCAUCACUAAGAGGAGUCUGGGAGCGUGGGCUGCGUGGUGGGACACAGAGCGAUCCUGGGUCCUGCCUACGAACGGUUUCAGGUGAUCAUGCAAACUCUUGGGGCCAAACGCCCCACUCUGCUUCGAGGUCCCCUGUCCCUUCUGGGGCUUCUGGGGGACCAUGGGUGCCUUCCGCAUUCUUGCCCUGAAGAACAUCAAACUGCAGAGGAACAUUCGGUGGCACAAAGCCUGC
rnacentral:lncRNA from 1 species